UACGGGGGGAGCAAGCGUUGUUCGGAUUUACUGGGCGUAAAGGGCGCGUAGGCGGCCACCGCAAGUCGACUGUGAAAUCUCCGGGCUUAACCCGGAAAGGUCAGCCGAUACUGCGGGGCUAGAGUGCAGAAGGGGCAACUGGAAUUCUCGGUGUAGCGGUGAAAUGCGUAGAUAUCGAGAGGAACACCGGUGGCGAAGGCGGUUCUCUGGGCCUUACCUGACGCUGAGGAGCGAAAGCGUGGGGAGCAAACAGG
rnacentral:rRNA from 1 species